rnacentral:rRNA from 1 species
AUGGCCAUCUUCAAUGAGUUCUAUGUAGGGUCCAUUGACCUCGGUCGCCUCAACUGUGGGAUCAUUUCGCUCAUCCCUAAGGUGCCUGGGGCGUUCGGCAUCUGCCAGUUUAGUCCGAUCAUGGUGAUCAAUGUGAUCUUCCAGAUCCUGGGAAAGUACACCAAUAGGGUGACCCUGCUUGCGAAUCGUAUUACCCACCCCAACCAGUCCGCCUUCAUUCAAGGGUGUUUUAUCCUGGAUGGGGUGCUAGUCCUUCACGAAGUCCUCCAUGAGGUCCGCUCUAAGUACCUCAAGGCGGUCUUCCUGAAGAUCGAUUUCCAUAAGGCUUACGAUACAGUCAGCUGGUCCUUCCUCCGGGAAGUUUUGCUCCGAAAGGGCUUCGAUGACCAUUGGAUCACCCUGUGA